rnacentral:rRNA from 14 species
ACGGAGAGUUUGAUCCUGGCUCAGGACGAACGCUGGCGGCGUGCUUAACACAUGCAAGUCGAACGGUAAGGCCCUUCGGGGUACACGAGUGGCGAACGGGUGAGUAACACGUGAGUAACCUGCCCUUGACUUUGGGAUAACUUCAGGAAACUGGGGCUAAUACCGGAUAGGAGCUCCUGCUGCAUGGUGGGGGUUGGAAAGUUUCGGCGGUUGGGGAUGGACUCGCGGCUUAUCAGCUUGUUGGUGGGGUAGUGGCUUACCAAGGCUUUGACGGGUAGCCGGCCUGAGAGGGUGACCGGCCACACUGGGACUGAGACACGGCCCAGACUCCUAC